UACAGAGGGGGCAAGCGUUGUUCGGAAUUACUGGGCGUAAAGGGCGCGUAGGCGGCCUUCUAAGUCGAACGUGAAAUCCCCGGGCUCAACCCGGGAACUGCGUCCGAUACUGGAAGGCUUGAAUUCGGGAGAGGGAUGCGGAAUUCCCGGUGUAAGGGUGAAAUCUGCAGAGAUCGGGAGGAACACCAGUCGCGAAGGCGCUUAACUGGCUCAUUACUGACGCUCAGGGACGAAAGCUAGGGGAGCAAACGGG
rnacentral:rRNA from 1 species